UGGCUCAGUUGGUAGAGCAUGGUGUUUGCAACGCCAGCACGGUGUGUGCAAUGCCAGGGUUGUGGGUUCGAUUCCCAC
rfam:Salmo salar isolate Sally breed double haploid chromosome ssa01, whole genome shotgun sequence.